rnacentral:rRNA from 1 species
UACGUAGGGGGCAAGCGUUGUCCGGAAUCAUUGGGCGUAAAGCGCGCGUAGGCGGCCCGGUAAGUCCGCUGUAAAAGUCCAGGGCUCAACCCUGGAAAGCCGGUGGAUACUGUCGGGCUAGAGUCCGGAAGAGGCGAGUGGAAUUCCUGGUGUAGCGGUGAAAUGCGUAGAUAUCUGGAGGAACACCAACGGCGAAGGCAGCUCGCUGGGACGGUACUGACGCUGAGACGCGAAAGCGUGGGGAGCGAACAGG